GCACAAAAAAAGACCGAACACGAUUCCUGUAUUCGGUCCAGGGAAAUGGCUCGUUGAGAGCCGUGCGCUAAAAGUUGGCAUUAAUGCAGGCGAUGUCGCCUUGCAACUUAAGGUUAGCCCACGUCUGUGGAAAUGCCAGCGA
rnacentral:sRNA from 1 species